UUUUUUUUUUUUGAGAUGGAGUUUCGCUCUGUCACCCAGGCUGGAGUGUGGUGGCAUGAUCUCGGCUCACUGCAACCUCCACCUCCCAGGGUCAAGUGAUUCUCCUGGGUCAGCCUCCGGAGUAGCUGGGAUUACAGGGCCUCGAGGGCGAGACUUCGGCUCACAGCUGUAUCCCAGGGCCUAGAACUGUGUCUGACAUAUACCAGUUUUUCUUCCCAGGGUCUCCCCAAGAGCUGCUUCCUUUGACUCCUGCUGUGUGUAGUUCUGCUGACAAUGACCUGGACAGCUCUGCGCCAUGCACAGCGUCUCUUUUCUCCGACUUACCAAAUUUUAGACACUACUGACUCCUCCAUGUGAAAGAUGGGAAUUCAGCUACAUCACAUUACCCUACAAACUUUAUUGUUAAUAUUUCUUCCCGGUCAGCCCCAAACACUGAAUGUAAAUACGGUCCAACAUCAACCUGCAAACGAACACUGACAUGAAAGUGCAGUUGGAAAGGAUCUCGCAAAGGAACAGAAUCUGGUGAUCCUAAUCGUAAUGAACGUGAUCGCCGGGUAUUGAGAGCUUGCAGGUACCAGGGCUCCGGCACUACGUGUUUCACAGGGGCCACUCGGUAGACCUCUUGGUGACCUUGAGGUCAGGUACCACGUUCCCAUUUUACAGAGGAGGAAACUGAGAUAACCUACGACAGCGAAAAGGUAGCAGAGCUGGGACUGGUGCCCAGGCUCGCCGAGUGGAAAAGCCCUCGGCCACCGUGGAGAGCUCGCUUCCUGUGGUCUGAAGCGUCGCCCCUGCACCGGCUUCUGCUGCCAAGGAUGGCUUUUCCUCACUGGUGCCCACCUACGCUCACUUGUGUCAUGUGGUUAAGCCCUUUUGGCAACAUAAGACCUUUCCCAAGAAUGUGCCUCGGUGCAGAGGAAGACGGUGGGGGCAGGCCCCCUCCCCGGGAUGCUCCACCCUCCCUGACCUCACACGGGUGCAACCUGGGCCGUGGCCGAGACCUGCUGUGUGGCAGACAAUGGGAAGCCUGUGUGUCGUCCUGGGUGCCGGAUUUAGACAAUAUUUAGCUUUCCCUUGGUGGAAAAGCCUUUCCCCUCCUGCUUUGGGCAGGAACUGGUUCCUGUUGGGCGGGGCCUGGCUGCUGCCCCACCCCCACCCGGCCGGGCACCUUGACCGGCAGCUCUCCGGGCUGCUCCCUGCCUGUGUCCCUGAGCACUGACUCCAGAGGUUUAAUCAUUAACGGGCACGUUUGGCCUUCGGUCGUGGGCUGGAAUUUGGGACCUGUGCCCGGGAACAAUGAUCUCCGACACAUUAUUUUGUGUAAAAUCACUUUUAGCUGCCAUUAGCUAAUAAAGCUGGAAUAAAGUGAGGUCCAUUAACCAGCA
rnacentral:lncRNA from 1 species